UUCAUUCUUGUCGCCCAGGCUGGAGUGCAGCGGCGCGAUCUCGGCUCACUGCAACCUCUGCCUCCUGGGUUCAAGCGAUUCUCCUGCCUCAGCCUCCCAAGUAGCUGGAAUUACAGGCGCCCACCAACACACCCAGCAAAUUUUUGUAUUUUUAGUAGAUACGGGGUUUUGUCAUGUUGGCCAGGCUGGUCGUGAACUCCUGAGCUCAAGUGAUCUACCCGCCUCGGCCUCCCAAAGUGCUGGGAUUACAGGCGUAAGAGACUGCACCCAGCUUAUAUAUGCAUUUCUAUAUAUGCAAAUUAAAAACCAGCUUCUAGUAGAAUGCCAUUCUCUUCUCUUCCACCCACCUGAAACUUCUUCCUCUCCCACCUAGGCCUGGUCCUGUAAACCCCAUCAGGGACAGUGGCGAUGUUGGGCAGAGACAUAAAGAAUCUGCAGCCUUCGAGGACCAGGUGGAGGCAUGGGGCGGGGUUGGGCAGUUUCCUGUCGGGGAGGUACUGAGAGCCAGAUGCUGGCCACCACCUUCUCAGGGUGGCUGAGCUGGGGCUCGAGACAGAACUUGGCAAACACUGACCGUGGUUCUGGGACUGGCGGAGGCUGGGGCAAGCCCAGCCCGGGCUUCACAGCAGCCGUCACUGCUUGCGAGGUGCUCCUGGGCAGACGAGAAAACGUGCUCCUUGCAGAGCUCCUCUUAUGCCAACAUACAUGGCUCAGCGGUGGAGUCACGUUGGAUUUUGGCCCCAAUUCCGGUGCUAGCACUUUGUGCAGUGCACAAGCUAUACACCCAUAUGUGGCAACCCUGACCGGCAGGGGUGACUUGGCUAGCAAGGCGGAGCAGACAGACUCCAGCCUGAAAGCAGGCAAGGUGGUCAUUCACAGCGGACUCUCUCUGUCCCAACAGCAACAGCACGAUAAGAGCUGCCAUUUAUUAGGCAUUUAGUCUGUGUGAAUCCCUGGGUUGAGUUAGCUCAUGUUUUCUUCGCGACCGAGUAGGUGCCAGUGUUAUCUUUACUUUAGGGACGAGCGCACAGGCUCUGAGAGGUUCAGUCAUUUGCUCAAGGCUGUACACAUCAUAAGGCUUCAUCCUGGGUCUGUUGGCUCUUGGGGCUGUGUCAGAAGAAGGGUGUCUCACAUGGCUAUUGUUAGGGGGCGUCCCAGAGUCCUGUUCGGGCCCAGGGCAUUGAGGAUUCUGUUUGUUAGGUCUGCGGUGGGAUCUCAGCAGCCAGAUAUGCCCCAUACCCUGUUCAGAACCACUGGGCGUCCAGAGCACGUGGAAAUUCAGGCACACAGAAACCCAGCCCUCUCUGGGACACUGUAGGUGACACUGCUGACCUUUAGGUCCCCAAGAGCAGAAAUCAUGACACCUGGAAGUGCAAAAGGAGAUCAGGAAGGUGCCAGAACUUCUGUGGUAUCGCUCCCCCUCCCAUACGCAGAGUAUGGUCGGCGGGGAAGGACGUGAGGUUGGCAUGACCCACAUGGGCACCCGGCCAUCCUGGCUACCCCGGCCAGACAAGCGACCUUGCAUAGGCUAGAGAAUAUGACUUGUCCUGGACUCCCCCAGAAAAUGGUGGGGGGAUGCUGCUGGCUCCUCCUACCCUGGCCGCGGCCAUCAGUUUGGUCCUGGGAAGGCUGGUGGCAGCUUCAAAGUUGGUGGCCAACAUCUGGGGCUCUUGAAGCCUGCAGCUCACAUUCCUUAAAGGAGAAGGUGGGAGUGGACCGGGGGCAGAUUCUGGGGCUACCAGGCCCGUCACUGUCCCCACAGGCCCCUCCUUCAGACAACAGAGAGUUUACCGCAUCCCUGUCCUAGACGGUGGCCGCAGGCUCUCAGACGGGCACUCCCUUCUGGCAGAAGCUGCUGUUAGCUUUGCCACACUCCCCACAGAGGCACCGCAGUUUGGAGAGGUGCUUAGGAAGGGCGAGCUACGGCCUUGAAUCGUUUCAAGGCUGCACUCGCCAGUCUUCUUUGCUGUAUUAUUCUCCAGAACGAGCUCCACCCUGUGGCCUGCAUGAAAGCUCGGUGGCUGUUUCUCCACUGUCAGAAAAGGUGACGUUUUUGUACACCUGGACCUAGAAGAAAUCAGGCUGGGCUUAAAGAAGAUCAGGCAGCAGACCAAAAGACACUUAAACUGUGACUCCUUUUGGUUUGUUUGUUUUGCAGGGAGAGGCAAUUAGUGGAAAUUCUUGGCCGCUUCUGAGCUGCUGAUGGCAGUGUCUUGAGGGAGAGGCGCUGGGAGGAGAGGCAGCCGCGGGGAGGGGCCGUGUGGGUAGGGACAGUCAGUAGCAUUCGAAUGAGCCUUAAAUCUAUGGGAGAUGGGACCCCCCAGUGUCUCAGAGACUGCGAGAAACUGAGCCCUGGAGUAGUCAGUGGUGUGCUGAGGGCUGACAGCUGGGGGCAAAGCUUCCCUGCAUGACUGAGUGGACACCAGACAUCUUUCUGGGCCAACUCUGUCUCCUCCUGGCUCCCAAACCCGCAUUUCCCUUCCCCAGGCUCAGUGGUAGGUGUGCUUACCCCAUCCUCGUGGGGCCCAGGGGGUCCACAUCCAGUUUUCCUUCCUGACUGCCAGUCUCGAUGACCUGUAGUGACUUCAGGCCCCACGCCAGGGGCACAGGCUGCCCACCAGCUCCUGCCUCACCCUACAGUGGACCCACUUCCAGUCCCUCGAGGUGGGCCUGGGUGUCUGAUGAGCUGGCUGACCUGGACACUGUUCCCUGGGCUCUCCCUCCCUGGCCACCCUCCUCCUGCAUCUUCUGUCCAUCUUUUCUUCUCUCCGCCCUUCCCACAGGCCCUCCCAAGGUCCCUACCUAGGAUGAGCACAGUGAUGCUGAAAAGAAAACCUUCCAUUCCUGGAGGCGCUGAACCAGGCCCUGCACUAGGAGCUUGGCGCGCGGCCGGACCCAGGCGCCCGAUGUCACCCCGUGUGCCAGAAACUGCCUCCUGCUGCCACCCAAGGGGCAGGGGCUGGCAAUUGUGGAAAACACAGGAGUCACAGUCCACCUUUCGGAGGUUGGCCAAGAUGUCUCCAGAGGAAAAGACAUUAAAGAGGUUGGCCAAGAUUCCUCCAGAGGAGAAGACAUUAAAGAGUGCUCUCCCCACAGGAACGAGACCUGCGUGGUGUGGGGAGCAGCUGAAGACUUCUCAUCUGCCUUUGUGAAUGCCAAUUGUACACAGCCACUACUGGAAUCUUACUCAUCGUAGCAGGAGGCCUGGCUUCCGGCACAGGUGGAAUGAAUGAAGGAAGGAACGGAUGAAUGAAAACAAUGAAGCUGUACAGAGCAGUCUGUCUCCGAGUGGGCAGUGGAUCCUGGAAAACACAUCUUCAGCCAUCCAGAGUGGGAAGAUCUGGAUUUGGGAUGUAGCCGCUUCCUCCCUGUGUGACCUUUGGCAGAUGUCAUUUACUUUUUGGAACUUCAGUUUUUCCAUCCGCAAAAAGGGGAUGCUGCCUGCCCAGUUCAUGUCACAGACCUGUGAAAGUCAAAACAGAAGGCAGGAGGGAGCAUAUUCCAUAAAAGGUACAGCAGCCGGGCAGAGUGGCCCAUGCCUGGAAUCCCAGCCAAGGCAGGAGGAUUGCUGGAGACCAGAAGUUUGAGACAAGUAUGGGCAAAAUAGCAAUACCUCAUCUCUAAAAAAAAUUAUUUAAAAAAUCAGCUGGGGCUGGGUGCGGUGGCUCACCUGUAAUCCCAGUACUUUGGGAGGCCAAGGCAGGCGGAUCACUUGAGGCCAGGAGUUCAAGCCCAGCCUAGCCAACAUGAUGAAACCCCAUCUCUACUAAAAAUAGAAAAAUUAGCCAGGUGUAGUGGUGCACACCUGUAGUACCACUGCACUCCAGCCUGGGUGACAAAGCGAGGCUCUGUCUCAACAAACAAACAAACAAACAAACAAAAAACCA